rnacentral:lncRNA from 1 species
CAUUCUAACAUUCUGUAAAAAAUGAAUUUCUAGAUGAAACAUUACCUGAACAAGCCAGCCAUAACUGUCUUUCUGCAUGUUUUCCUCAGUCAUUUCCAAGAACUCCAUAUUCUCCAUAUCCCAGAGACGAUGGACCUAAACACAGAGGAUCUCCUUAUAGAUUCUUCUAAUGCCAGCAGCAGUUUUGUGAAUGUGACCGGGCUGCCAUUGAGUGCAUGGUUCAAAAGUCCCUACAACUCUGCCAUGACAGGCCUUGCUGGACAAUACUGUUCAAUAGAAAAACAAACAGGUACUUCCUGCUUCCUGUUUUUUUAACAGCUCCUGAGUUAUGCUAAUAGCUAAUCUAAUCAUUCCAGGUGUGCCUGCUUUGUAUUGUAGUUCCUUGAACAUGAAUGUGAAAGCGUGCUGUUUUCACAUACCGUAUGUAAACACUCAUAUGGUGCUGGAGAUAAUAUGAAGUUGAAAAGUGGUGGAAUUUCCCUUUAAACUUGAUUUUGUGCUUUUAGUUGCAGAUUGGGGACAGGUGGAGCUGUUUGGGUCGUUAAGGUGACAAGUUGCACCUGAGUUUGGGAUCAACUAGGAGAUAAAAGUUCCUGGUGCCCAGUCCUGGCUUUCUCGCCACAAGCACUGUUUUGAUAUGGUUGUUGGGCUUUUUAAUUAGGUGCACCCUUCCACACUUACACACGGUUUACCUUCAUCAUGCAUCUCCAUUACAUGCCUACUGUCACACUUCACAGGUUAGUUUUCCUCUGUGGUUUUGUACUUUGUUGGUGGUUUAAUAAGUAUUUUUGUUACUCCUUAACUGCCAAUGUGUGGACUCCCUUGCUUGUCACCAUCUAAGAGCCAGGUUGUGACAGAACGAGACAAGUUAAAGAAGGAGCCUCCUUUCUUUUUGAUGCCCAAUUAACCUCUACUAAAGAGCACCUGCUGUCUACCAAAACCUACUAUUGUGUACCUAAGUAGCACUUCCCUUUUUCAACAGGAUUUUUAAGCCUUGAGACAUGGAUUGUGUAUGUGUGCUAUUCAGAGGGUGAAUGGUGAAGACAAAAUAUUUAAGUGCCUUUGAACGGGUAUGGUAGGUGACAGGCGCACUGGUUUGAGUUUAUCAAGAACUGCAACGCUGCAGGGUUUUUCCAUGCUCAACAGUUUCCUGUGUGUAUCAAGAAUGGUCCACCACCCAAAGGAAGUCCAGCCAACUUGACACAACUGUGGGAAGCAUUGGAGCCAACAUGGGCCAGCAUCCCUGUGGAAUGCUUUCAACACCUUAUACAGUCCAUGCCUGACAAAUUGAGGCUGUUCUAAGUUUACAAGGGUGUCUUGUACACUCUAUGUACAUCCACUGAAUGAUGCUUCCUUUACUCAUCUCAGUCGCCAAAUAAAUUCUUAAGUUGCCUGUUAAGUUUAUGCGGAGAAGGUAGAACUCAUUCUGGACUUUUUCUCAUGUCUGACUUUGUUGUCCAGUGUUGCUGCAUAACAAAUUGAUGGUCAGUGAGGUCUUCAAUGUUACAACAGAGUGCCGUCAAUUCCCUUCUCAUGAAACUAACAGCUAGCUAAUAAUGAAUGUCCACCAGUCCGCAUCUCUUCGUCAAUAUGCUUAUAGAAAAACAAGUAGAGUGACGUCAGUCUUCAUUAAAGACAAGGUAAGAUUGGGCUCCUGAGUGGCGUAGCGGUCUAGGGCACUGCAUCUCAGUGCAAGAGGUGUCACUACAGUUCUUGGUUCGAAUCCAGGCUGUAUCACAUCCAGCUGUUUGGGAGUCCGAUAGGGCGGUGCAAAAUUGGCACGGGUUUGCCGGGGUAGGCCAUCCUUGUAAAUAAGAGUUCUUAACUGACUUGCCUAGUUAAAAUAAAGACCGUGAGUCCAAUCAAUCAAAUGUAUUUAUAAAGCCCUUUUACAUCAGCAGAUGUCACAAAGUGCUGUACAGAAACCCAGCCUAAAACCCCAAACAGCA